UCGCCGCGACGUGCGCAGGUGUCGCGUUCUUCCGCCCUGCGGAAGGGGCGUGGGGCACGUGGUGGGAAGGUCGCGUUCGACGCAGGGCCCCGCCCUAGGUUCGUGAAAAGAUGUUUGAAAAUACGAGAGCCACCGGGAGGUGCGUCGGAGUGCAGUAUUUCUGUGUUUGCGGACCAAGCCUUGACAGUGAAAAUGGAUGUAUUUGUGUUCUUGAAACCGUAAAUAAGGAAAUGUGAAGGAGAUUCUGGUGUUCCUUGUUUUGGAAAAGUUGGGAAUGAAAUAAAUGGAGAUGCAUGAGGAGUAUACUACACUUUUGGGCUGAAGAGAGAACCAUUUACUACCUGUCCAUCAAUGGAUGAAUGGAUUAAGAAGAGGUGGUAC